AUCAGAGUGUGUUCAGUCCUUUCAGAGCCACUGACACGCAGCACAAUGAUGAUGGUACUGAUUCUACUGCUGGGGACACUGGGACUCCUCGCUCACCAGUCCUUUGGGGAAAUCGUCCUGACUCAGUCUCCAGGAUCUCAGUCUGUUUCUCCAGGAGCAUCUGUUACUCUCACCUGUAGAACCAGUCAGGGUGUUAGUAAUUACCUUCACUGGUACCUGCAGAAACCUGGAGAAGCUCCUAAACUCCUGAUCUAUUAUGCAUCUUCUCGUCAGUCUGGGAUUCCAGAUCGUUUCAGUGGCAGUGGAUCUGGAACAGAAUUUAGUCUAAAGAUCUCUGGAUUUCAGGCUGAAGAUGCAGGAGAUUAUUACUGUCAGCAGGGUUACAGCACUCCAUUCACACAGUGUUAUAGCGUCGUACAAAAACCCUCCCUCAGCUGUAGAGGAAGUGCUCUGAGUCAGAAACACACACUGAUCUGAGAACAGCUGCAGAGCUGCUAAAGCUGCACUCCACUGAACAUCAUCAAACGUCUUCAUGUUUGAAAAAUAAUCCUUCCUGAAAAGCAGAAAUCUCUUCAUCAGCUGUUCCUGCUGUGAUGAAAAAUCAGCUGAUGUGUGUAAUGGUAUCUGAUGAUUUCCACCUUCUGCUAAGAGGAGCAGUGUCUACUACACACUACUGUAACACACAAUGUAGUGCAGGAUCUUUCAAUAAGACUCCAUGUUCAAUUCUAUAUAAUUCUAUAUUUCAAGAUUCAUUUUCUCAUCAUCUGUAAAGUUUAAACACAAAACAGUCUCCUGUUCUACCACAACCUGAUCAAAUGCAGACUGAUGGACAGUGAUGUGGCCACUAGAUGGUGCUGUAAUGGAACUACGCAUGCUGAUCUCUUACUAUGAUGAAGAGAAGAUAGAUUGGUUCUUUUAAAUCUAUAAGAUGAACAAAUUUUUUUGUAUUCCCAAAAUACCUGACCAGUCUGAUCAUCCUCCUCUGAUCUCUCUCAUCAACAAGGUGUUUCAGACUGCAGACCCUCUGAUUACAGGAUGGUUUGUGUUUUUCACACCAUUCUGUAAAAACUCUAGAGACAGUUGUGUGUGAAAAUCCCAGGAGAUCAGCAGUUUCUGAAAAACUCAAACCAGCCCAUCUGAUACCAACAAACCAUUUCACUGUGAAAGUCACAGAGAUCAGACUUUUACUCCAUUCUGGUGUUUGCUGUGAAUUUUAACUGAAGCUCUUCACCUAAAUCUGCAUGAUUUUAUACAUUGUGCUGCUGCCACAUGAUUGGCUGAUUGGAGAACUGGAUGAAUGUGCAGGUGAACACAGGUGCAGGUUCCUGAUAAAGUGGCAGAUAUAAUUUAUUCCAUACCUGGAAAAUGUUCCUCAACCAACCCAGAUAAAUAAAAUCAGUUUGAGCAGUGAAACUGAGAGAGAGAGCGAGAGAGAGAGAGAGAGAGAGAGAUCAGUGAAGUGAGAGAGAGAUUUACAUGAAGACGGCUGAGUGAUCCUCUUUCUCCCAGAAUAGAGCAGCACUUUCAGCAGAUGUUCAACUUCCUUCUGCUUCUUAAGAGUCCAGACUCAAU